rnacentral:rRNA from 1 species
GUAGUCUCGCACAGAUGCAUAUCAAUAAGCGGAGGAAAAGAAACUAACAAGGAUUCCCCUAGUAACGGCGAGUGAAGCGGGAAGAGCUCAAAUUUGAAAUCUUAAAGGGUUUUCCUUUACGAAUUGUAGUUUAAAGAAGUGUUUUCUGUUGAGGUUUUGGUAAAGUUCUUUGGAAUAGGACAUCAUAGAGGGUGAGAAUCCCGUAUUUGACCUUUACUUUCAACUUUGUGAUACACUUUCAAAGAGUCGGAUUGUUUGGGAAUGCAGUCCAAAAUGGGUGGUAAAUUUCAUCUAAAGCUAAAUAUUGGCGAGAGACCGAUGGCGAACAAGUACCGUGAGGGAAAGAUGAAAAGAACUUUGAAAAGAGAGUUAAACAGUACGUGAAAUUGUCAAAAGGGAAGCGUUUGACACCAGUGUUGUUUUUCUGAAAAUCAAUUAAAGAACUGUUUAUGCUAAGCUGUUUAGACUUUAUCAGCUAAUCUGUUUAGUUUUGAGCUUUUCCUUUAAUGCACUUUUCAGUUAACAAGUCAACAUCAAUUUCUUUUGUUGUAAAAAAGCUUGAGGAAGGUGGCUUGAGAUUCGUCUUAAGUGUUUAUAGCCUCUUGCCUAUGCAGUCGGAGAGAUUGAGGUCUGCAGCGUAGAUCCUUCGGGGCUAAAUGCAUUUGUGCUAAGUUAUAGCAUUUUAUAGACAACUUGUUGACUAUGAUUUGUCUUGUAGCUUACUCGCUUAUGUUAUUUUACCUACGCUUAGGAUGUUGACAGCAGUAUAGACUGUCGAUCUCAUCUAUACAUGACUCUGCGCAUAUCAAUAAGCGGAGGAAAAGGGCUGCCGGCAUCAUGCACCACGGACUACGAUACCUACGCUAGGAUGUUGACAGCAGUAUAGACUGU